CAAAACACCUGGAGGGCCAAAGUUUGCCAAUGUCUGUCUUAGAUAUUGCUAUAGGUGUCAGUAAAUGUCUUAUAGUGCCAUCUGCUGGAAAUAUUACAGAAGACAUUUUAUAAAGGAAAAUAAACACCCUGAACAAUGCAACGAUUUUCCACUUAUGUGCUUUUGUAGCAUUAAAACAGCCUAAAACCCUGGGUAGAUACCUCUAGCCAACAAUAUGGGGCCAGAGGAACCAAUUCACAGCAUUAAGAACAUCAUGCUUUACCUUCUAUAGAAAAGGGUAAACCACACAUUGCAGCAUUGAUUACACUGCAUCCUGUUGUUGGUGCUGUUGUUUUCAUUUAGCCUGCAGAAGAUCAAAGUAUAACAUGUUUCCUGAAUUGUCACCCUGCAGGUGAAACCGAAAGACCAACUCUCAGAGAAACCUAUUAAAACUCAAGAGAGUAAUGAUGGGAUUGAAAAAGGAGGCCUCUGAAAUCCUUGUUAUUGAUAAAGAUUGAUGAUGAUGAUGAUGAUGAUGGUCCUAAAUUCAAAUGUGGCUUCUUAAAAAAACUGCUAUACAGUUAAAAUGAGUUAAAACUGCACUGAAGAAUAAUCGCAAUGGCCCAUUCCAGUGAUGAAUGUGUAUUGGACACAUGAACUCUUGAACAGAUUGAGGCCAGGAUGGACAAAAACAGUGGACGCUUUCAAAACUGUGAGGUCAAAAUAAAAAGUAUACAUAAAUGGCUGGCGUGUUGAUAAAGUUGCUAUGGAAGAUCCAUCAGGGUUACCAAAGAAUACCUGGAAACCAAAGAGAAGGAUUUAAAAUAAGGUGGUUUGAGUGUGGGACUACAACUCUGGAGAUCAGGGCUGAACCUUUGCUCAGCCAUGAAACCCAGUAGAUCAGCAAAGAUUCAAUUUGAAAUCAUUCUGUCUGUGCAACCACAAGCCACCCAUGAAUGAAUUACCACUAGAUACCUCUCUCAGCACAGAAAAAGAUCCUGGCCUCCAUCAUUCACAAGUUGACAACCUCGUAACGUAAGGCCUAAUGAGAUAUUCCCCAUUUGUGGAGUUAAUUUUUAGAUAUGUUGCCGAGUUGAAAUGGCUAAUAAAUCUUGAUAACUUGAUAACUCAUUAAACUGUUUGUAACUUUUUGUGGAAUUGUAAAAUGUUGCCAUCAUGAGGAUAUACUGCUUUGAAAUUGGGUCUAUCAUUUUGAAACACCCUGUACAUAGUAAUCUAAAAUUAGAAUAUAUGUUGGAGAACUGCUGCUUACCAACAUGUUUAAGUGACUUGUUAAUAUCUUUUCUCUUUUCUAAGACCGCUGUCUCUGUUAAAGCAAAACAUUUUGGAAAUAAAGGAGUUUCCUGCCCU